AGAACGAACGCUGGCGGCAUGCCUAAUACAUGCAAGUCGAACGAACUCUUCGGAGUUAGUGGCGCACGGGUGCGUAACGCGUGGGAAUCUGCCCCUUGGUUCGGAAUAACAGUUGGAAACGACUGCUAAUACCGGAUGAUGACGAAAGUCCAAAGAUUUAUCGCCAAGGGAUGAGCCCGCGUAGGAUUAGCUAGUUGGUGAGGUAAAGGCUCACCAAGGCAACGAUCCUUAGCUGGUCUGAGAGGAUGAUCAGCCACACUGGGACUGAGACACGGCCCAGACUCCUACGGGAGGCAGCAGUAGGGAAUAUGGACAAUGGGCGAAAGCCUGAUCCAGCAAUGCCGCGUGAGUGAUGAAGGCCUUAGGUUGUAAAGCUCGUUUACCCGAGAUGAUAAUGACAGUAUCGGAGAAUAACGCCCGGCUAACUCCGUGCCAGCCAGCCGC
rnacentral:rRNA from 1 species